GACGAACGCUGGCGGCGUGCUUAACACAUGCAAGUCGAACGGAAAGGCCCUGCUUUUGUGGGGUGCUCGAGUGGCGAACGGGUGAGUAACACGUGAGUAACCUGCCCUUGACUUUGGGAUAACUUCAGGAGACUGGGGCUAAUACCGGAUAGGAGCUCCUGCUGCAUGGUGGGGGUUGGAAAGUUUCGGCGGUUGGGGAUGGACUCGCGGCUUAUCAGCUUGUUGGUGGGGUAGUGGCUUACCAAGGCUUUGACGGGUAGCCGGCCUGAGAGGGUGACCGGCCACAUUGGGACUGAGAUACGGCCCAGACUCCUACGGGAGGCAGCAGUGGGGAACAUUGCACAAUGGGCGGAAGCCUGAUGCAGCAACGCCGCGUGCGGGAUGACGGCCUUCGGGUUGUAAACCGCUUUCGCCUGUGACGAAGCGUGAGUGACGGUAAUGGGUAAAGAAGCACCGGCUAACUACGUG
rnacentral:rRNA from 1 species